rnacentral:rRNA from 1 species
UAUUUAUUAGAUAAAAAACCAAUGCCCUUCGGGGCUCCUUGGUGAUUCAUAAUAACUUAACGAAUCGCAUGGCCUUGCGCCGGCGAUGGUUCAUUCAAAUUUCUGCCCUAUCAACUUUCGAUGGUAAGAUAGUGGCUUACCAUGGUCUCAACGGGUAACGGAGGAUUAGGGUUCGAUUCCGGAGAGGGAGCCUGAGAAACGGCUACCACAUCUAAGGAAGGCAGCAGGCGCGUAAAUUACCCAAUCCUGACUCAGGGAGGUAGUGACAAGAAAUAACGGGUCGGGGCAUUCGCCUCGGGAUUGCAAUGAAUCGAAUUUACACCCCUUAAUGAGGAUCAAUUGGAGGGCAAGUCUGGUGCCAGCAGCCGCGGUAAUUCCAGCUCCAAUAGCGUAUAUUAAAGUUGUUGCAGUUAAAAAGCUCGUAGUUUGAUUUCUGGACGGGCGCCAACACCCGCUUGUUUAGUGUGGAGGCGGCGCCCGCCCAUCCUUCUGCUAACGCCACCGGCAUUCAUUUGCUGGCGGCGGGCUCAGAUAUUUUACCUUGAGAAAAUUAAAGUGUUUCAGGCAGGCUUGCGC